rnacentral:rRNA from 1 species
UACGGAGGGAGCUAGCGUUGUUCGGAUUCAUUGGGCGUAAAGGGUGUGUAGGUGGCGCCGUAAGUCGGGUGUGAAAUCUCGGGGCUUAACUCCGAAACUGCAUUCGAUACUGCCGUGCUUGAGGACUGGAGAGGAGACUGGAAUUUACGGUGUAGCGGUGAAAUGCGUAGAUAUCGUAAGGAAGACCAGUGGCGAAGGCGGGUCUCUGGACAGUUCCUGACGCUGAGGCACGAAGGUCAGGGGAGCAAACGGG